GACGAACGCUGGCGGCGUGCCUAAUACAUGCAAGUAGAACGCUGAAGGAGGAGCCUGCUCUUCUGGAUGAGUUGCGAACGGGUGAGUAACGCGUAGGUAACCUGCCUGGUAGCGGGGGAUAACUAUUGGAAACGAUAGCUAAUACCGCAUAAGAGUAGAUGUUGCAUGACAUUUACUUAAAAGGUGCAAUUGCAUCACUACCAGAUGGACCUGCGUUGUAUUAGCUAGUUGGUGGGGUAACGGCUUACCAAGGCGACGAUACAUAGCCGACCUGAGAGGGUGAUCGGCCACACUGGGACUGAGACACGGCCCAGACUCCUACGGGAGGCAGCAGUAGGGAAUCUUCGGCAAUGGACGGAAGUCUGACCGAGCAACGCCGCGUGAGUGAAGAAGGUUUUCGGAUCGUAAAGCUCUGUUGUAAGAGAAGAACGAGUGUGAGAGUGGAAAGUUCACACUGUGACGGUAUCUUACCAGAAAGGGACGGCUAACUACGUG
rnacentral:rRNA from 1 species